CCGCGGCGUUGGCAGAGUUUGAUCCUGGCUCAGAUUGAACGCUGGCGGCAUGCCUUACACAUGCAAGUCGAACGGCAGCACGGGGGGCGACCCCUGGUGGCGAGUGGCGAACGGGUGAGUAAUGCAUCGGAACGUGCCCGGUAGUGGGGGAUAACCCCGAGAAAUCGGGGCUAAUACCGCAUGAGCCCGGGAGGGGAAAGCGGGGGACCUGAUGAGGGCCUCGCGCUAUCGGAGCGGCCGAUGUCCGAUUAGCUGGUUGGUGGGGUAAAGGCCCACCAAGGCGACGAUCGGUAGCGGGUCUGAGAGGACGGCCCGCCACACUGGGACUGAGACACGGCCCAGACUCCUACGGGAGGCAGCAGUGGGGAAUUUUGGACAAUGGGCGAAAGCUGGAUCCAGCCAUGCCGCGUGCGGGAAGAAGGCCUUCGGGUUGUAAACCGCUUUCGGCCGGGACGAAAUCGCCCGCAUGAACAGUGUGGGUGGAUGACGGUACUGGCAGAAGAAGCACCGGCUAACUACGUGCCAGCAGCCGCGGUAAUACGUAGGGUGCGAGCGUUAAUCGGAAUUACUGGGCGUAAAGCGUGCGCAGGCGGCCCUUUAAGUCAGCUGUGAAAGCCCCGGGCUUAACCUGGGAAUGGCGCUUGAAACUGCG
rnacentral:rRNA from 1 species